CUUACGGUGCUUUGUGAAUUUUAAAGCUUUACCCAUAGUUUUGUUGCUCUUUCGUUUUUGUGCUAUUUAAUGGGAAUUCCUUUUUUCACUCUUGCUAUGUUCUUAUUAAUCUUAUAUAUUGCGUUUUUUUCUUUUUCUUUUUUUACUUGCUUGUGAUAGAUUGGUGUGGAAAUAGGUAAGAGGAAAAGCCUUUUUCUUCCUGCAUCUUUUUCUUUGUUUCGAAAUGUCAGGAUACAAACAGAGGAAUCUAACUUCGAUUUUAAAAUUGAUAGUUUGAGUUCAUGUAGAUUGAGUUAUGCUCAAGUUGGUGUUAGUUUAUAAUUAUUAAAAAAUUAGGGAGGAAAGCUGUGCCUCUCACAAUUGAAAAUCCAAUCCAACAUUUUGUUCAAGGGAAUGCAUCUAUUUGUUUUUUCGGCCGUGGAAGAAGUUCUGACAUCUGAGAUCUAUUAGAAAACGUUUUCAGUCCUCUCUAUGGUUUCUAUCUUCCUAGACAACUGUGUUGAUUCUUCUUAUCUGAGAUUAAAAGAUGGAAAAGCCUUUAUAGCCUCGGGCAAGUUUUUUCAGUGCCAGUGAAUGGUGUUGCGCCCACAACAAAAAAUAACUCUCAAUCAACAGCGUCGGUAUCAUCAGCUACUCCUUUGCAAUCGGAAGAGUAUGAUUUCUCCUCUUUAACACAAGUGGUGCCCCUUACUAUAUUUCUUGGAAAUUCAUUUGAAGGUCAUCUUAUGGACAACUGCGAGGGGGCUUGGUUAAAUAUAAAGAACCCGACUUUUGAGAAUCUAAUGCCACCUUAGGUUCUUGAUUGGGAAGGAGCUUUUGAAAGCUAUCGAUGUACACUUGUUGCUGUAUUCGUGCAUUAGCUGUUGGUUUUAAUCUUAGUACAGUAUCUUACCUUCAACAUUUUACUGAUCAGUUUGGUGCCCAUCGCCCAAUGUAAGUACUCUAAAAAAUUGUACAUUUGACUUAUGUCUAUUAGUACCUACUAAUACCACAUUCCUUGAUCUUGGUCUUUCUGCCUUUGGUUAGUAGCGUGCAUGGACAGUGUGCAUGGUUAUAGUUAGUGUUUUGUAACUAAAACCACCAUUCAAUCAACAUUAUAAGUAUUCAUAGUUUUUGGUAUUCGUUGUGACGUCAAUUUUUUUUAAAGAUCGAUGGCUGUGACAACUAAUUGAAAGGUUUUGCAAGAACCUAUUGGAGUAAUGAAGCCAUUUUAGAACCCUCAUUAUGUUCAACUCUACUAUUAUCUUUGUAGGAUUUAAAGCUUGGAUUGCGAUGUACCUAUCAUACUUUAGUACAUGUAGAUUCUUGUAAACCCUUUACCAAAAAUGGUUAAUAGUCAAUCUUGUCCAAAUAUUAUGAGGUGUAUGAUAACGUGUAUAUAUUAAAGUGUUGACUAUUUGUUUC